rnacentral:rRNA from 1 species
UUGAAAGGGAAACGAUUGAAGUCAGUCGUACCGACGAGUAAUCAGCCUUUCGGGUGUGAUUUUGCCGGACACGGAGAGCUUUACCGUAUUCGUGCUUGUAAAUUUGUGCCCUUUGGGUGUACUUUCUCGUAUGGUUAGUUAACAUCAAUUUUGAUCGUUAUAAAAUGACUGGAGUAAUGUAGCUUCGAUUUUGUAUUGAAGUGUUAUAGACUUUGGUAGAUGUAACGAUCGGGAUUGAGGAUUGCAACGAAUACCCUUCGGGCUAUCCGUCUGGCCUCUGAAAGUUGUCUUGGUGCCAAAAGUGUGCUUACGGUUAUCGAGGCUGACGGUCAAAAGGUUAGAACAUGAUUAAAUUCGUUAAGGAUGUUGACGUA